GUAGUAGCAAAUACUCUAGCGAGACCCUUGAGGGCUGAGGCGGAGAAGGGUUUCGUGUGAACAGCCGUUGCACACGAGUCAGUCGAUCCUAAGCUCUAGGAGAAAUCCUACGAAUGGGAGGCCAACGGCCCGUCGAGCGAAAGGGAAUCCGGUCCCCAUUCCGGAACCCGGUCGCGGAACCGUCUCACGUCGGGCCCCCCGUCGGUUGCUUCGCGCGGCGCGGCGGAAGCUCGUCGGGGUAACCCAACCAGACCCGGAGAAGCCGGCGGGAGGUCCGGGAAGAGUUUUCUUUUCUGUUUGAGCGUUCGGGUUCCCUGGAAUUGCCUAGCGCAGAGAGAGGGAAUGGAGCGCGUAGAGCACCGCAGUUGCGGCGGUGUCCGGACACGCCCCUCGGACCUUGAAAAUCCGGGGACGGGCCACGUGGAGGUUCGCGCCGGUUCGUACCCAUAUCCGCAGCAGGUCUCCAAGGUGAAGAGCCUCUAGUCGGUAGACGAAUGUAGGUAAGGGAAGUCGGCAACUUGGAUCCGUAACUUCGGAACAAGGAU
rnacentral:rRNA from 1 species